CAGCCGUAAACGAUACUCGCUAGGUGUCGGCCACGGUGCGACCGUUGUCGGUGCCGUAGGGAAGCCGUGAAGCGAGCCACCUGGGAAGUACGGCCGCAAGGCUGAAACUUAAAGGAAUUGGCGGGGGAGCACAACAACGGGUGGAGCUUGCGGUUUAAUUGGAUUCAACGCCGGAAAUCUUACCGGGACCGACAGCAACAUGGAGGCCAAGCUGAAGACUUUGCCGGAUUAGCUGAGAGGAGGUGCAUGGCGUAGACGUCU
rnacentral:rRNA from 1 species